UACGUAGGGGGCAAGCGUUGUCCGGAUUUAUUGGGCGUAAAGAGCGUGUAGGCGGCCAGGUAGGUCGCUGUGAAACUCGAGGCUUAACCUGAGCGUGUCGGCGGAAACCAUCUGGCUAGAGUCCGGAAGAGGAGAAUGGAAUCCCGGUGUAGCGGUGAAAUGCGCAGAUAUCGGGAAGAACACCCGUGGCGAAGGCGGUUCUC
rnacentral:rRNA from 1 species